rnacentral:rRNA from 1 species
CCUACGGGAGGCAGCAGUGAGGAAUAUUGGUCAAUGGGCUUACGCCUGAACCAGCCAAGUCGCGUGAGGGAAGACUGCCCUAUGGGUUGUAAACCUCUUUUGUCAGGGAGCAACGCCGGCUACGUGUAGCCGGACUGAGAGUACCUGAAGAAAAAGCAUCGGCUAACUCCGUGCCAGCAGCCGCGGUAAUACGGAGGAUGCGAGCGUUAUCCGGAUUUAUUGGGUUUAAAGGGUGCGUAGGCGGUAUGCCAAGUCAGCGGUAAAAUCGCGGGGCUCAACCUCGCUCCGCCGUUGAAACUGGCGUUCUUGAGUGGGCGAGAAGUAUGCGGAAGGCGUGGUGUAGCGGUGAAAUGCAUAGAUAUCACGCAGAACUCCGAUUGCGAAGGCAGCAUACCGGCGCCCAACUGACGCUGAAGCACGAAAGCGUGGGUAGCGAACAGGAUUAGAUACCCUAGUAGUC